ensembl:lncRNA H/ACA ribonucleoprotein complex subunit 1-like
AAGCACCUUGAAAAGACCUGCCUACCGGGAUUAGACAGCGCUAUUUUGGGGCUCUUGUUACAUUGGUCGUCAGAUUCAUAGCGCUGCUGGGCUGGGUCACGCUGCUAGGACUCACCACUCACUUGAUCGACACAAAUAAACACCAAGAAAGAGCCUUGAAACCGGGUUAAUUAAAAAAGUUUCAUAGUUCGUCUCGUCAUUAGCGUUUCUGCUUUGACAUACCUUUGGAAGUUAUCGAGUGUAAAUUCUUUGGUGUUUUCGAGACACACGACGCUUUUGAAACUUUUGCGUGCGUAAAGACGUUGGAAGACGAAAUGGGGGAGAAUGAUGUUCAAAUGGAGAGUACAGAGCAAAUGCAGGAGCCUCACGCUUCAUGCUCGGACAAAAUCGACUUGUCAUUAGAUGACAUUAUAAAGCUGAAUAAGAAGGAACAGAAGGCAAACAGAGCUGCCAACAGAGCUAAAACUAAACGUGCUGUUAACAGGAACAACGUCUUGAAGAAACUCAACCAGGUUCCACAGCAACAGAGGGGACUCAGACGAGGAGCGCAGCAGUACCAAGGGCCUGGCAGGGUGAGAGGUUUAAGGAGACAAAGAGGAUCCGGGAGGGGCAUGAUGUCGAGAAGGGAUUCACUAAAUAGAGCUGCUGCCGCUGCCACGACUGGUGAACAGUUUGAUCAGACCACAUUCACAUCGAGGGGCACAUUCAGAGGACGGGGAAGAGGUAGAGGAAGAGGAGGCGGACUGAGCAGGGGUGCAUUGUCAGCAAGAGGACAAAGGGGUGGAAGACCAUUUGUAUUAGACAGAGGGUUUUCCGCUACAAAAAGGGCUGAGAAACUACAAAAGUAUCAGACAAUAAGAAGUCGAAGAACAGCACCAUCUGGCUCCACGCUGACAGUUUCCCUGCCAAAUGCAAAAUCUGCACCUGUCGCUGUGAAGACAUCUAAUCAGACUAGGAGGGGUGGGGCAGUGUUAAGGGGCAGAUCAUCUAGAGGAGCCGGUACUUCGUCAUCUAUGGGGAUUCCUCUGCAAUUUAACUACAAAGCAACUACUAACCAGACUGCCGUAUACCUUAAUGACCGUUUCACUGACCUGAGGUUAAGAGGGCAAGGACGAGGCCGGGAAAGAGGUGAUGGAAGAGGAAGAGGAGCUGUUGGAGGAGGUGGAAGAGGUGGAGGAAGAGGAAACAUUGUUGGGGGUGGACGAGGUAGAGGACAAGGAAACAUAGGUGGGGGAAGAGGCAGAGGAAGAGGAAACUUUAUGGGUGGUGGAAGAGGCAGAGGAAGAGGAAACUUUAUGGGGGAUGGCAGAGGCAGAGGAAGAGGAAACUUUAUGGGUGGUGGAAGAGGCAGAGGAAGAGGAAACUUUAUGGGGGAUGGCAGAGGCAGAGGAAGAGGAAACUUUAUGGGUGGUGGAAGAGGCAGAGGAAGAGGAAACUUUAUGGGGGAUGGCAGAGGCAGAGGAAACAUUAUGGGGGGUGGCAGAGGCAGAGGAAGAGGAGGGGUUGGUGUGGCAAGAGGAGGAAGAGGCUUGAGAAGAGGAAGUGGAGGAUCAAGAGGAGCCGAUCGAACAGUAACUCUUCAGUGAUUACAAUUACAACCAAUUUUAUGAAGUAAUAGUGUUUUGGUAAAAAAAAAUUUUUGGUGCAUCACUAUUUAAUGUCAUGAUGUCAUUCAACUAAAUAUUUGUAACAUUUCUGACAGCGGAAUAAGGGGGUUUCAUUGCAGUGUACAAACAAAAAAAAUUUCCUUUCUAAAAGAAAAUUUAAAUUAUUGAUUGUUAUAUGAUGAAGGUUUUUACAUUUUUAGGUUAUGAAAAAAUAAAAUUUUAAAAAGUACCUCAGAGGGUAAUGAAGUGCCUCUUCAAAUUCAGUGUAAAUACUGUUUUGCAUUCUGACAUUAGAAGGUAAAGUCAGUGAUAAAAACUGAAUCCUAUACUUUAAAAAAAAUGUAAAUAUAUCAAAAGUUGUUUACAUUUGAUAUCAUCAUAUCAAUAAACACCAAACAAUGG